rnacentral:lncRNA from 1 species
GGGAGAGUUGGCAAUAGGGCCCUCUGCUGCUGCUGUCAUGAAGAGGAGACUGAAUUCUCCACACUCCUUACACUCAGAUGCAGUUGUACCACUCCUGGCAGCUGAUGGAAGCUCAGAAGAAUAUCAGCUCUCUGAAGACAUACAAAACAUCUCUCACUCAUGGAUAUAUCCCCAGCACCUAGUGGAGUGUCUCACACAUGAAAGAUGUUCCAUAAAUUUGGUCAAUGAUAUCAAGGAUCAUAAACCUGAUUUGCCACAAAACUUGUCAAGAGUCUGACCAUAAAAAUACUCUUAGGAAGCCUAUAUGCAAGUACUUUUGACUGCCUCCUGCACAGGAAGGGAAACAAAGUUUCUCCAAAGAAAUUUAUGACUCAAACUUGACACCCAAGGACUCUUGAGUGGGAGACUUGAGAUACAACUGGACUUAGGCUUGAGAUACAACGAAAGAGGAUUCCAGAGUUGGAAUUUAAUCAAACAAGUGCUGAUGACACUGUUUUAUUAUGUGUGAUUUCUCUGUUCAUUCCUAUCCAGAAAGGAACACCUUCAACAUUUCCUUGUAGGUUGAGAUUUAUAUACCCAGAGGUAUUCUUGAGAUGCUUGUAUUCUUUUUUCAUUUCCAUCACAUUUAGACUAUAUUGAUUUAUAUUAAUGCAGUCUAGUGUAAAUGAGUGCUCCCCUGUGUUCCAUUACAGACCUUCCAUGCCAAUAGCUGCUGUUAAUAGCUGCAUUGAGCAUGAACUACAUGCAAGGCAUUGUCCUGAAAAAUAUGCAGCUAAUUGGAAUCCUGUUGUUUAGGUAUUAGGAUUGUUUCUGUUUCGUCAAUGGAAAAGUUGAGGCAAGUUAGUAACCUGUUCAAGUGCACAAAGCAAGUAAGUGGUGAAGCCUAGGCAGACAUCUUCCAAGCCCCUUAGUGUAAUUACAACACUGUUUGUUGACCUUUAUGUAAUGAUGCUUAGAUCAGUCAUUUGAAGUGACUUGUACAGAACAAAGGAGAUGAAACGAGUUUUACCAUAUUUGAUCGUUCAUCUCACGUCAAGUGUCAAUUAGGUGCCAAGCAUUGGAUCAGACACUGCAUAUGCAGAAAAGAACAAAAUCUAGUCCCUGUGCUCAUGCAUCUCAGCGUCUGCAAGGAUCCUCCCAGCUGGAAUGAGAGCAUGAAGGAGUGUAGGUGCAAUACUAAGUGAUA